GUCUGUAUGGGGUUUUAUAAAGUCUGGCCUGCCCACUGGUAUAAAANUAAAGGGCCGCGGUAUUUUAACCGUGCGAAGGUAGCAUAGUCAUUAGUCUUUUAAUUGAGGGCUUGUAUGAAAGGUUGAACAAGAAGCAAACUGUCUUGAGAAUAAAAUUUGAAUUUAACUUUUAAGUGAAAAGGCUUAAAUAUUUUAGAGGGACGAUAAGACCCUAUAAAGCUUGAUAAUUUUAUAUAUAAUUAAAUAAAUUAUUAGUAUUAUAUUAUUUAUAUAUUAAAUUAUUUCGUUGGGGCGACGAUAAUAUAAUUUGUAACUGUUUGAAAUUUUAAUUCAGAAAUAUUUGUUUUUAAUGAUCCUUUUAUUAUUGAUUAAAAAUUUAAGUUACUUUAGGGAUAACAGCGUUAUUUAUUUUGAGAGUUCAUAUCGAUAAAAAAGUUUGCGACCUCGAUGUUGAAUUAAAAUUUCUCCAUGGUGCAGUAGUUAUGGAGU
rnacentral:rRNA from 1 species